rnacentral:misc_RNA from 1 species
UCCCCGUUAUCCUGGGCAGUCCUUCCAGAGUUCCUGACAUGUCAAGGGUAGGUAAGGUUUUUCGCGUUGCAUCGAAUUAAACCACAUCAUCCACCGCUUGUGCGGGCCCCCGUCAAUUCCUUUGAGUUUUAAUCUUGCGACCGUACUCCCCAGGCGGAUGACUUCACGCGUUAGCUGCGUUACUAAGGGAUUUAACUCCCCCAACAACUAGUCAUCAUCGUUUAGGGCGUGGACUAC